GGGGGGGGGGGGGGGGGGGCGGGGGGCGGGGGGGGCGGGGGGGAGCGCAGUGAGGGCUUGCGCGUACGGGUGGCGAGUGGCGGACGGGUGAGGAAUACAUCGGAAUCUACUUGUUCGUGGGGGAUAACGUAGGGAAACUUACGCUAAUACCGCAUACGACCUACGGGUGAAAGCAGGGGAUCUUCGGACCUUGCGCGAUUGAAUGAGCCGAUGUCGGAUUAGCUAGUUGGCGGGGUAAAGGCCCACCAAGGCGACGAUCCGUAGCUGGUCUGAGAGGAUGAUCAGCCACACUGGAACUGAGACACGGUCCAGACUCCUACGGGAGGCAGCAGUGGGGAAUAUUGGACAAUGGGCGCAAGCCUGAUCCAGCCAUACCGCGUGGGUGAAGAAGGCCUUCGGGUUGUAAAGCCCUUUUGUUGGGAAAGAAAAGCAGCAGGUUAAUACCCCGCUGUUCUGACGGUACCCAAAGAAUAAGCACCGGCUAACUUCGUG
rnacentral:rRNA from 1 species